AUGGCGGGGCUCGCCGGAGCGGGCUGGGGCGAGGGCGUGCUGGUGCUCGGCCUUGUCGGAGCGCACAAGGGCGUGGGCGAGCUAGGGCCCAUGGGGACGAGCAUCAGUAGGAGCUACCGAAUCUUUUCGUCAAAAGAAACUCUUCUUUGUGGAGGCUUUUGCCAUGGUGGCUCUGAAAUUGCAACUGCAUUAGCAAACCGGAGCUCAAACGUCGGUCAGGCUCUAUUUUCACUAUGGAUGGCUCUUGGAAGUGUCAUCGGCUACAUGCUGAGAACCUCGGGUUGCUGCGACUCGUGCGCUGAUGUGAAGGGUCCUUCUCGGAGUCAGCGUAGCGAUUACAGUGCUCCUCGCGAAGGAGCAGCCAAUCGAUGCCACCUCCAUCGCUCCACGUUCCGGCGGCUGUCUUGCUUAGUGAACGGAACCAGCACCAGGGCUGGCCAUGAUCUUGGCGGCGUGGAGAUGUGCAGCGCUACGGAUGAAAAUCAUGUUCGGCUUUGGUCGGGCCGGCAUCGAUGCAUUGUGCUGGGAGACGAGAGGCCCUUUGUUGCGCUCCUUCGGUGUUUGCGACUGCCCAGAUCGCCCUUCCCCGGCGCUAUGUACGGUCGUCGCUGGUUUAUCCAAGGAAGAUGUAGUUGCUGUUCUUCGGAGAUGACCGGUGUUGGUCGCACGCGGCGAGUCCCUUACCUCCCCGAGCUAGUGGCGACUGGCGACCGUGUGUACCAGGAGGUGGCUGCAGUGGCCGCCAAGCUCCGGCGGCACGAGAUCCCCGUCCGGCGGCGACAGCCGCUCGCCGUGCGUCGGCGACGUCGGCUCCCAUGCAGCGACGUUGCAAGCUCCGCGCGUGACUGUCCACCUAGCUGCGGCGACGAACGACUAGAGGUUGAGUGCCUAGGCCCUUCCCCUCUCCAAGCGCGCAUUCCCUCGAUCUGCUCGCCUCCGGUAAAGCGGCCGCCGUUCACCCUCUCUAUCAACGUGCCCUGCUUGAGUUGCUUCCGGCGGUCCGACUCCAUCGCCAGCAGGCCAUCUAGGGUUCGCCGUCUGGUAGGUUCCCUCCACCGGCCGGCCGCCAGGCCCUCCGUCUCUCCGGCAGACGGCACCAAGAAGGCAAGAGCCGCCACCGCACGCACGCAGCCUGUCACAGGAGGCUGCAGAGGCGAGCAGAGACUGAUACUUCUGGGUUGCUGCAUCGGUGUGGGCCGCGACGGCGUGGUGGCAGUCCACGGUGGUGGUGCGGGGCGGUUCGUUGCGACGGUGGGACAUGCUCCGGCGUCUGGCCAUUGGCGAGCUGCUCGUGUGGAUGCCCCUUGGUCCUCUAGCGGCAACAGGAUGUGGUCUUUCCGGCGCCUCGCGUCGUUGGGCGAGUGUCCAGUUCCUACCAGAUGCAGAUCCAGGCCGGGAGCUGUGGUUGGGCGUUGCAGGGUGCGACUUUGGAGAGGUGACGGGUGGUGCCGAUGCAGUCGGGCUGCCUGUUACCGGCAGGGGUGCGGACAUCGACUUGGUCCGCUCCCGCUUCACCUCUUCUCCGACCUGCUGGCUCCCCGAUCGAUCUGGUUGUUUUGGUCGCUGCGGCCUUGUUGCCGGUCGGUGCAUCUCAUGCAGCGAUGGAGGAUCUAUGGUGUGUCUUGUUACCUGGGCGGCGGCCCGGGUGGUAGGUGCUGCGGUGCUCGUGGGCUGACCUUGUGGCUCAGGUGCGGGCGGCCGAUGGAGGCGGCGCCAGUGGACGUCGUCAUCUUCCUGAAGUCUUCGUUGUGGUUACUCCUUUCCCUUUGUCAUGCUCCGGAUGAAAAUCUAGAUCUUUGGAUCGGCCGGUGGCGGCGUUUUGUUCUGUCCUUCUUGAAGGCACUGUCUUGGAGCUCUCAGUUCAUCGUCAUUCAACUUCACCUCUUCGCGGGUUCUCCCGGAAGAGCUCCGGUGGCUCUUUAG
rnacentral:rRNA from 1 species